rnacentral:lncRNA from 1 species
CCACCGAGGAGCUGGGUGAGAGCUCGGGAGAUGAGGGUGUCCCGAGAUCCCGAGGGAAUUUCACAGAGCUGGCCCCUCCUCUGAUACGGGUCCUGCAGCAUGCCCCCCCCCCCCCCCCCGCCAGGCUGGGCACACAGAUGCUCCUCUGUCAUCAGUCCUGGCCUGGCCCGGUUCUUCUGUCCCAGGAACAGACCAGAGUCCUAGGACAGCCCCCCGCCCCCGGCCCGCGGGAGGGCAGCGGGAGAACUCAGGGCCAGGCCUGCGGGACUGUUUGCCUUCGCGGGCAGGGUGACGGGCAGCAGGUCGGGCAGUUUCAUGUUUCUGUUGACGGAUGCUGCUGAGCACCUCAUGACGUGCCAGCCACGGUGGCGAGCACGGGGUGAGCCCAAACACCACGACGGCCCGUGCCACAUGAGCUGUGCUGUCAGCUGGGAAGACACGUUCGACGCGGACUUUCAUGACGUGUCCAAAUUACAAAUGCGGCGCCCCCUUGCCGAGGCCUAAGUUGAACGCUUCCCGGUUCCACACACCUGCAGCCCUUUCAGCUCCAGGGAGGCUCCUUCCUGUCCAUCCUUACUGUUUCCAGCACCGCUUUCCGCUCACGUCCUGCGUGUCCCUCUGCUCUCUCUGUGUUGGGAGUGGACUCCGCAGAAAGGCAUUCCAUGUUGCGGGGCCUCGGAAUGUCUUGGAACUGAGCGGUCACUCAGGACGUGGUUUAUCUGUCCGGCUCCAGGGUUCCCAGCAGGGUCCCAAGGACAACAACGAUGAGCCAGGGAGAAGGCAAAAUGGGUUUAAAUAUGACAGUUUUUUUGGGGAAACGCCUGGGGGGGGGGGUGGCAGGAUGGAGCUGGUGCCGUAUCUCCACCUGAGACUCAGAAAGGCUGUGCCCUCCGAAGCCAGGAUGUGCCCGAAGUCGCCUGUUUGCACGGGCUUCCCGCGCUCACACUCAGGUGCUUGUUGCUUAAGAGCUUCCCACUCUGUCCGAAUCCCGGUCAUCUGAACAAAAUGUGAGUCCCUGCUUGGUGACAGACCAGGCUGGAGGGUGUGGGGGCUCAGAAGCCUCAGCCCAGGACACCCCAGCUGGAAGCAGCCACCUUUCCUGCUCACCUGCUCUGUCUGGCCUCGUCUGUUUCCACCUCCCACCUGCCCCCAUGGCAGCUGAGGUGUCACAGGCAGGACACUUACUCGACGGCGCAGCCUCUUCCGUGCGUUUCCACACACCUCUGAGACUCAGGUUGUGUAGCUUUUGAGGGUCUGAGAAAGGUCCCCGAGGGGUGACGUGCUCCCGGGAGAAGGCUCCUUGUGUGUGAAGGGUUGGACAGUGGGUGGAAAGGGCCCAGCUGCACGUGGCGGCCAGCUCGUCGUUGCGGAGGCCCACAGAGCUUGGCUUGUGCGGUGCACAUGGACUUGCAUGAAGAAUGCAAUUUCUGAAUUAUACCCCUGCCCUUGCCCCAGACAUACUGCCUGAGGAAGAGCACUGUGAGCGCUGCCCCCACCCAGCCUCAUCCCUCCUGCUCCCAAGGAGUUGGCCAGGCAGGUUUGAGAUGCACACAGGCUGUGGGAGGGCAGAGGGAGGCUGGGAGGCUCUGGCUUCUGGGAUCAGCCUCAGCCACUUUUGUUUUGAGGAGUUCAGGUAAUGGAUAAGGAGGACACGCAGCUUUUCCGUGGGUGCUUAGAGCUGAUAGAGAAGCUUGCAGGUAUCAAACCAGGAUAGGUUUCAAGACUGGAAGCAAGGAGAACUUUGCCAUAUAAAGUGAGAGGCUACAGAAUUCUGGAAGAACAAGGGGAUCAAAUAAGAUUUUAAGAAGUGGUUUUCUGCUUCAUCCCCCUUGGCAUUCUUCCAGAUAUUUGAGUGAAAACUGACACUAACGUUUCACAUUUUGAUUUUGGGGCUUUGUUCUUUGGAGUGUGACUCCAUGUGCAGACCAGACAAUACGAAAUUCCUGUUUGUAUUUGGGUUACACACACAGCACAUGCACAUAAACACCACACAUACAGCACAUGUAUCACACACACAGCAUAUACAGUCACACAUAGCACACAUGUAUCAUACAUAUGCCACACACAUCACACAUGCCACACAUCACGUACACACACGUCACACGCACACACACACCACACACAACACACAUGCCACACACACAAAAGGAACCACUCUGAGAGAUGCACUUUUCAGAUGAGAACUGAGAUUUUUCAUCAUAACUUGUAAUACGUACAUCAAUACAUCAAAUACAUUUGACCUGUUGUUCAUUCAUCUAUCUGCCAGGUGGAUUAAAAUGCAGUCUUACUCCUUUUCUGACUCAUUUAUUCUCUCCUAGGAGAAGUCAUUUGUACUCCAGCUACUUUUAAAAGGCAUGAAGCCCAGGCUAAAGAAAGCCUCCUCUCUGGUUGAAAUUCCACAGUGAAGCCUGGUCCAGAAAUAAAUCACAAAAAUAGACAGUCUUUCCUCA